rnacentral:rRNA from 1 species
UACGUAGGCAGCAAGCGUUGUUCGGAGUUACUGGGCGUAAAGGGUGUGUAGGCGGUUCUUUAAGUUUGGUGUGAAAUCUCCCGGCUCAACUGGGAGGGUGCGCCGAAUACUGAGGGACUAGAGUACGGGAGAGGAAAGUGGAAUUCCUGGUGUAGCGGUGAAAUGCGUAGAUAUCAGGAGGAACACCGGUGGUGUAGACGGCUUUCUGGACCGUAACUGACGCUGAGGAGCGAAAGCGUGGGGAGCGAACAGG